rnacentral:misc_RNA from 1 species
AAGUAGUGGGAAAUAAACAUUUGUUUGAUAAAGUUUAAAACAGUGGUAAGCUAAUCAAUAACUAAAUAUAACAUGUGAACCCUGGAAAAUGAGAGAGGAGGCAUGCUGGUACACAGUAUUACAAUUCUCAACCAUAGGGAAAUUCAAGUUUUUGUACAAUCUGGAUAUGGAAGAUGGUACAAUCACAUCAUGUAAUAAGCAGCUUAAAUAUUGCAACCAAAGUUAUAGGCAUAUUGGGCAUUCAUAUAGAUUUAAGAAUUUAUUAAGAGCAUAUGUAGUGCCAAGAAGCAAAACAUACUGAUAGUAUGUCCAGUCAAGACCAGAAGGGGAAGAUGACAAACCGGUAUAGAAGAUU